rnacentral:rRNA from 1 species
GAACAUGGCUCAGGAUGAACGCUAGCUACAGGCUUAACACAUGCAAGUCGAGGGGCAGCAUGACGAUAGCUUGCUAUUGUUGAUGGCGACCGGCGCACGGGUGAGUAACGCGUAUCCAACCUUCCCGUUGCUAGGGGAGUAACCUUGCGAAAGUAAGACUAAUACCCUAUGAAGUUCUUCGCAGGCAUCUAAAGAGAACGAAAGAUUUAUCGGCAACGGAUGGGGAUGCGU